rnacentral:rRNA from 1 species
AUUGAACGCUAGCGGCAUGCCUAACACAUGCAAGUCGAACGGAGUGGCGAACGGGUGAGUAAUGUAUCGGAACGUGCCUUGUAGCGGGGGAUAACUAUCGGAAAGCGUAGCUAAUACCGCAUACUAACAGAUCGGCCGAGGUCGGAUUAGUUAGUUGGUGGGGGAACGGCUCACCAAGGCGACGAUCCGUAACUGGUUUGAGAGGAGGACCAGCCACACUGGAACUGAGACACGGCCCAGACUCCUAGGGGAGGAAGAAGUGGGGAAGAUUGGAAAAUGGGCGAAAGCCUGAUGCAGACAUGCCGCGUGUGUGAAGAAGGCCUUGGGAUUGUAAAGUACUUUCAGCUGGGAGGCGUUACCUGAAGAAGAAGCACCGGCUAACUCCGUGCCAGCAGCCGCGGUAAUUC